rnacentral:lncRNA from 1 species
CAAAGAGUGGCCUAGAGAUGUGGAAGCUGGUCUUGUUUCUGUAUGGAGCCCAGAGCCGUGGAAUGCAGCGUCAGGACACCUCCAGCUUUGUUCUCAUUGAGCUGGCAGUUUGCUAAUCCCCAUGUAUCACUUCCUGUGUGAACUGAUCCUUCUAAAAAAGAGAAAUCACUCCCCAGUGUGAAGGUAACAGAUCUUCUGGAAAGAAAUUAUAGUCGUUCAAACAAUGGCAACUCAGAUGUAUGAUCACAGCUACUUGAAAUGUGCAGUUCUGGAAAUAGAGAAUUAAAACUAGAAUGCUCCACAAUGGAAAUGGAAUCAGUGGCCAACACAAAUUACUCCUUAGAUAAUCAACUGCCAAUAAACCUGAUUUCUUGAUUCUGGCAACAG